CCCCCUUUUAGCCUUGAUUUUCGAGAAAUGCGAGCUGGCCACCUGUACCCCCCGCGAGCCCGGGGUGGCGGGGGGCGAUGUCUGCUCGUCGGAGUCCUUCAACGAAGACAUCGCCGUUUUCGCCAAACAGAUCAGAGCAGAGAAGCCCUUAUUUUCUUCUAAUCCUGAACUGGAUAAUUUGAUGAUUCAAGCCAUACAAGUAUUAAGGUUUCAUCUGCUGGAAUUAGAGAAGGUCCACGAGCUAUGUGACAAUUUCUGCCACCGGUACAUUAGCUGCUUGAAAGGGAAAAUGCCUAUCGAUUUGGUGAUAGACGACCGAGAAGGCGGCUCCAAGUCGGACAGCGAAGAUAUAACCCGAUCGGCGAAUCUAACGGACCAGGUAC